AAAAUGUAAAUAAACAAACACAACAAAUUAAACUUUAAACAAAAUUAAAAAAAAAACUUAAAAUUAUUCAUCUGACGAAAAAAACUGUCGAUCAUUAUCCAGCCACCACCAACAAAUGCAGUACAUAGUCACCAAACAAGCACGACCAAAUGCGGUGUUAGAUCUAUAAGGAGAAGAACUGGGUGUAUGCAUAUACAGAUACAAAUUCAAAAAUUCUCAAUCCCUAAAUUUACAAAUAAGCCCUAAUUCCCAAAUUUCAACAUCAAAAAUUCGAUCUGGGUGUUUAGGAAGAAAUUUUUUCAUCAUCACCAAUCAUGACUCCCAUUUCAUAUCGAACGAUUUAUGUCGAGACCUUUAUCAAGAAGAAUCAUUGAUUAAAAAAAGAGUGAGAGAAAGAGAAGAAGAAAUUCCCUAAUCUGAGUGAAAAUCAAACCCAAAAAAUUACGAUUUGUAUAUAUAUAAUAUGUAGAGAGAGAACGAGCUUACGGAUGAAGAGAAUGAUGAAUUUCAACAAAUUAAAGAUUUUUGUAUAUUCAGCAGUUACAAUCUCCGUCGUGGGCAGCAUGUCUACCUACUAUUAGAACGUAGAGACUUUAUGAGUUUCAAAAUUUGGGGGAUUGAUAUAGUCAAAUUUUGGUUUUGUGAAGAUGAGAUGCCUGCAAGGCUGCAAUGAUGGUGACGAUCUUAAUAUUCAAAGGCAGUGAGGAGGAUAA
rnacentral:lncRNA from 1 species